rnacentral:rRNA from 1 species
GACGAACGCUGGCGGCGUGCUUAACACAUGCAAGUCGAACGGAAAGGCCCUGCUUGCAGGGUACUCGAGUGGCGAACGGGUGAGUAACACGUGGGUGAUCUGCCCUGCACUUCGGGAUAAGCCUGGGAAACUGGGUCUAAUACCGGAUAUGACCUUCCAUGUAGUGUGGGGGGUGGAAAGAUUUAUCGGUGUGGGAUGAGCCCGCGGCCUAUCAGCUUGUUGGUGGGGUAAUGGCCUACCAAGGCGUCGACGGGUAGCCGGCCUGCGAGGGUGGACGGCCACAUUGGGACUGAGAUACGGCCCAGACUCCUACGGGAGGCAGCAGUGGGGAAUAUUGCACAAUGGGCGGAAGCCUGAUGCAGCGACGCCGCGUGGGGGAUGACGGCCUUCGGGUUGUAAACCUCUUUCGACAGGGACGAAGCUUCGGUGACGGUACCUGUAUAAGAAGCACCGGCUAACUACGUG